AUGGGGAAGGGGAAGAGCCGCCGCGGCGCCGGAGGAGGGCGCGCGCCGGCGGCGAGCGCGAGCGACGUCCAGCGAGCCGCCGCGGCGCUCACCCUCGCCGAAGCCGCCGCCCGCCACGGGUUCGAGGUCACCGACGUCGGUUCGACACCCUUGUCUUUCGCGGUGGCACAUGGGGAAAUGACUGCUGCGUGGUAUUUUCUUGACAAAGGUGCUAAUCCCAACACAAAAAGUUCCUCCACCGGCACGACUCCUCUGCAUGAAGCAGUAGCAACAGGCUGUGAUGAAAUUGCACAACUGCUGCUAUCGAAAGGAGCUAAUGUUGAGGCACCUUCUCCUCAUGGGACACCUCUAGUUGCCGCUGCAGCCCAUGGGAAGUUCAAUGCUAUGAAGAUUUUGCUGGAGCACCAUGCAGAUCCGAACAAAGUCUCAUGGGACUUUGGUACACCCCUGACCACAGCACUCUAUGCUACUCCUGACAGAAUGAAUGAGUCCACCUGCUUAGAGUGCGUGAAACUUCUUGUCAAGGCUGGCGCGGAUGUCAAUUGUACAAUUCCUGAAACUCCAUUGGCAAUAGCAACUAACAAUGGCUUAACCACAUGCUUUAAAUACUUGUUGGAGGUUGGCGCCAAUAUCAAUGUUCCAGCUAACCAGGUUAAGAAAAGUGACAGUGAUAGCAAAGCUCCACUGAAAUCAAGCGGUGCAAAAGCUGUUAGGGGGAAGAACUAUGUUGCCGCAUCAAAAUUGUGUUCUGAGGGCAAGUCAAGUGACAAAGAUAGGAAGGCUCGGCUGAAAUCACAAGGUGCAAAAGCAGUUGAGGGCAAGGACUAUGCCACCGCAUCAAAAUUCUAUACAGAGGCAAUCAAGCUGGAUCCCGCUGACGCGGUGUUGUAUUCGAACAGGAGCCUUUGCCAUCUGAAGUGUGGUGAAGCACAUGAUGCUUUGAUGGAUGCCAAUGCUUGCAUAAGUCUGGACCCUAAGUGGCAUAAAGGUUACUACCGUAAAGGAGCCGCCCUUAUGUCUCUUCUGGAGUACAAAGAGGCCUCUGAUGCGUUCUCGGCUGGAAUGAAACUGGCGCCUAACAGCAAGGAGAUGCAGGAGGCGCAUAGGGAGGCGGUUGAGGCAAUGAGGAAGGAACAGUCUGAGCCGAGUCUCUACGCACUGGAUUAG
rnacentral:rRNA from 1 species